AUUGAACGCUGGCGGCAUGCUUUACACAUGCAAGUCGAACGGUAACAGGGAGCUUGCUCCGCUGACGAGUGGCGAACGGGUGAGUAAUAUAUCGGAACGUACCCAAGAGUGGGGGAUAACGUAGCGGAAGUUACGCUAAUACCGCAUACGAUCUAUGGAUGAAAGCAGGGGGCCUUCGGGCCUUGUGCUCCUGGAGCGGCCGAUAUCUGAUUAGCUAGUGGGUGAGGUAAAGGCUCACCAAGGCGACGAUCAGUAGCUGGUCUGAGAGGACGACCAGCCACACUGGCACUGAGACACGGUCCAGACUCCUACGGGAGGCAGCAGUGGGGAAUUUUGGACAAUGGGCGCAAGCCUGAUCCAGCAAUGCCGCGUGAGUGAAGAAGGCCUUCGGGUUGUAAAGCUCUUUUGUCAGGGAAGAAACGGGAGUGGCUAAUAUCCAUUCCUAAUGACGGUACCUGAAGAAUAAGCACCGGCUAACUACGUGCCAGCCGCCGCGGUAACAC
rnacentral:rRNA from 1 species